UACGUAGGGUGCAAGCGUUAUCCGGAUUCACUGGGUUUAAAGGGUGCGUAGGUGGGUUGGUAAGUCAGUGGUGAAAUCCCCGAGCUUAACUUGGGAACUGCCAUUGAUACUAUCAGUCUUGAAUACCGUGGAGGUUAGCGGAAUAUGUCAUGUAGCGGUGAAAUGCUUAGAUAUGACAUAGAACACCAAUUGCGAAGGCAGCUCACUACGCGAAUAUUGACACUGAGGCACGAAAGCGUGGGGAUCAAACAGG
rnacentral:rRNA from 1 species